GCAAGGCCGACCACAGGUUAAGAGAUCAUAGCCCUGCAUCUGAGAGUCUGCAAGCUAGUCAGUGUCCUUUGAUGAGCUGUUUCCAGAAUCUUGCGUCCGCCCAGCAAGUGCUCGCUGAGAGAUUGGCAACAAAAAAUCAUGCCGUGGAAAUUUCAGAAGCUGAGAUGCAACAAGAAAAUAAAAGGCUCCGAGCCAAGCUUUCAGGUCUGGAAGGGAGAUCCAGGCGCAACAACAUAAAAUAUCGUUGGUGUCCCUGCAGGAGAAAAAAGAUUCAGCGUCUUGGGGGACUGCCCUCGAUGGAUUACUAAGGUCAUCGUAUCUUAAUCUUCCCAGACUACACCCCGGAGGUGAUGGAGCAACAGUAAAGCCUCCAUGAGAAUGCUGAGGGAGAAGGAGAUUUGAGUUGAGACUCCAUGUUCAUUACUAGGAGCAAGUAAAGAUAUUCAGCAAUAUGGCUGAAGCCAAGAACUUUUUAGAUUUGACAUUUGAAAUUCUAUUUUUGUAACAUAAAGAGAGUGUAAACACACUGAGUAGGCUUCUAUCAUUGCAGUUUUCUUUUCUCUUAUGCUCAACUUGUUCAGCACUGUUUGUGCCAAUGAGGGGGCUGUGAGUUGGAGGUGUUCCCUGAUAGAUGAGGGUAACUGCUUUAUUUGGGGAAACCCUGGAUGUGGGUUUUGUUCAUGUUUAUUUGAGUUUUUGUUGGCUGCUGUUAGCUGUAAGAUUUAAUGUUUCGAUACAAUGCAAUUAUCUUUUGUGGUUCAAUGUUCAAGCUUGUGGUCUUUCAAAGUAUCAUGACUAAAAACAUAUCCAUAUCCUUGGUCUCUUGGAGUGUUCUUGGUUAAUGUCAUCCAAUAAAGCGAGAUGAAGUCUCCAUAUCUGGAUAGGCUUUCUUUUGCUCCUCCACCCAAUAUUCUUGCUGUACAAACACUUCAUUUGAUGAAGUGAAAGAAGAUUACAACAUCCAUGUGAUUGUCAUUAUUCUUUCCACUCCCAUGUACGCAGAUCAUUAACGCGGAUCAGUUACUUUUUUUAGAUGAUUCCAGAUUAAUCUCUAACACUGUCCAUACCAAAUAGCACAACACAACAUAACAGACCAUAGUCCUGUCCCUUCCUAAGUAGGCCUAUAGCUGGUGAUUUAUUACUCAGAUCUAGCUUUUAAAGAUUACAUUAGGUUGCACAUUUCAACAGCACUGUGGGACAAAGUGAAUGUAUUUGUUGAUGAAAAAGUAUUUUAAAAAAGUCACCAAAAUAUUAUGGAGCAAUAGCACGCUGAGUUGUCACCUGCCCUGGAUUAGCAGUGGACCAUGUGAGACAUACUCAUUCUUGGCACCGUGAUUGCAUUAGUU